rnacentral:rRNA from 1 species
CAGGACGAACGCUGGCGGCGUGCCUAACACAUGCAAGUCGAGCGGGGACAUGGAGUAGCAAUACGAAAUGUUCUAGCGGCGGACGGGUGAGUAACGCGUGAGCAACCUGUCCCAGUCAGGGGGAUAACGAGCCGAAAGGCUCCCUAAUACCGCAUGAGACCACAGCAUCACAUGGUGCAGGGGUCAAAGGAGAGAUCCGGACUGGGGUGGGCUCGCGUCUGAUUAGCUAGUUGGUGAGGUAAAGGCCCACCAAGGCGACGAUCAGUAGCCGACCUGAGAGGGUGAUCGGCCACAUUGGAACUGAGACACGGUCCAAACUCCUACGGGAGGCAGCAGUGGGGAAUAUUGGGCAAUGGGGGAAACCCUUCGACCCAGCAACGCCGCGUGAAGGAAGAAGGUCUUCGGAUCGUAAACUUCUAUCCUUGGUGAAGAUAAUGACGGUAGCCGAGAAGGAAGCCCCGGCUAACUACGUGCCAGCAGCAGC